GAUGAACGCUAGCGGCAGGCUUAAUACAUGCAAGUCGAGGGGCAUCAAGGUACACGAAAGUGUAUUGUUGGCGACCGGCGGACGGGUGAGUAAUAGGUAGGUAACCUACCUCAUACUGAGGCAUAGCUGGGAGAAAUUCCAGGUAAUUCCUCAUGAGGUUAUAUGACACAUGUGAUAUAAUCAAAGGUAUCGCAAGGUACUGGUAUGAGAUGGGCUUACUGACCAUUAGCUAGUUGGUGAGAUAAGAGCUCACCAAGGCGAAGAUGGUUAGGGGUUUUGAGAGAGAGAUCCCCCACAUUGGAACUGAGAUACGGUCCAGACUCCUACGGGAGGCAGCAGUAGGGAAUAUUGGGCAAUGGGCGAAGCCUGACCCAGCCAUGCCGCGUGAAGGAGACGGGCCUUCGGGUUGUAAACUGCUUUAGUCUAGGAAAAGGGUGCGAGGUUAAGUACCCUGUGCUUUGACGGUACUGGAAGAAUAAGCACCGGCUAACUAC
rnacentral:rRNA from 1 species